rnacentral:hammerhead_ribozyme from 1 species
AUCAGUUGACAAGUCCCAAACAGGACGAAACGCGUGUCCUGGAU